AAAUUCUUUGAUGUUUGGAUAUCAAAGUUAAGAUGAUAGAAGACAGAUAAAAGUCUGAGAAGAUUGUAAGAGAAAGAAGAAAUACAGCUACCUGGGACCAAAAAUACAUAGGACACACUUCCUGAAGAAUGAGAGAGGAAAAUCGGAUAUAUUGCAGCCAUAACCCUCAAAAGUUAAAAAAGUCUUCCACCGAGCUUGCUUAAAUACAGGAAAGUAUGAAAGCUUCAGGACAUCUAUGGUAAGACACAGUGAGAAGAUGGGCAUCUGUGAAGUAAGAAGAAGGCUCUCAUCUAAUACCAAAUGUGUCCAUGGCUUGGACUUCUGAGCCUCCAGAACUAGUCAUCAAUGUUCAGUAGAACAUCCUUUCAGUUACAUGAAGAUGCCAAACUAGAGGAAAGAGGACACACCAUGUGAUUUCCCAGGGUCAACAUCUCCCAAGGGAUGGUCCUGACUGAGGAGACACAAAAACAGUCUAAAACCAACAGAUAUUCCUGUCCAAAUUAUCUUUUUAUGGCACACCAUAGCUGUAUUCAAUAUAAAACAAGUAGAGUGAGAACUGAACAUGAAUUACAAAGCAGAAUUUUUUUCAUGAUACAUGAGUUAAUAAACAUGAGUUAAACUCAUGAUACAUGAAUUCAAGAAAAGAACGGAAUCCCUUUUUAUACUUUAUUGCCACAAGUUUUACCAAAUAGGUGGUUUGGAAAGGUAGCACCUUUUUGAAAUUAAUUCUUGAUUUGUAAAAGUUCAGAUGGUUACUAUCUAUUUGGCCAACUAAAAGUGCUUAUUUUUACUGCCAUAAGCCAAGCAUGCUGGUCUUUGAUAAACAUGCCAUUAAUCAUGAUUUAAUUGUAUAGGCUCAAAAAUCUCUAAGACCUGUUAAGAAAAAAAAAAUAAAAAAGUUAUAAAAUUAUUUAUUAACCUGUAAAAAGUGUGUGGAUUUUCUACAAAGCCAGCAAUUGGAAAUUGACAAAAUUUAUAUUUUUAUCCUUAUGAGAAUCUUUAUACGUUUACCUCAAAGGGAAGAAUAGAGUCAAUUACUACUAUUUCAAAUAGAUAUUGCCUUUGGCAAGUAUGCAAAUCAUACUGGAAUUGUACAUUUGAGCUUUUUUAUUGUGACAACUCUGAGAUAUUACUUGGUAAAGCUGAUUGUGCUGCUCCUAUUCCUCUCCAGUCUGUUCUCAAAAGGAACCAUAACACGUUUCCAAGGCGGAGAGAGCACCAAGAGGCAAGGUUCUGUCAGCUGCUUCUCUGGACUGAAUUGUGUCCCCAUGUUGAAGCCCUAAUCACCAAUGUGAGUGUAUCUGGAGAUGGGGCCUUUAAGACAGUGAUUAAAAUUAAAUGAAGUCAUAAGGGUGGAGCUCUAAUCCAAUAAAAUUGUUGCUCUUAUAAGAAGAAAAAGAAAAGGCAUCAGAGCUGUUUCCCUGAUGUGUAAGGACAUUGUGAGAAGAGAGUCAUCUGCAAAACCAGGACAACAAUCCUCGCCAGAGUCCAACCAUGCUGGCAACCUGAUCUUGGAUAUCCAGCCUCCAGGACUGUGAGAAAUAAAUUUCUGCUGUGUAAGUCA